rnacentral:lncRNA from 1 species
AUAAAUAGUCGAUAAGCAUGUAUAUUUUCUUCAAUAAUUACCUAGCAAUUGUUGUCGAUCGAUAGGAACAAAAAAAAUGUAUCUAAAUUUAGGUGUAGUAGCUAAGAAUUGAUAAUGGAUAGGAAGGAACAUAUAAGUGUAGCAUAAUAUUCAUGGGACAAACACUGUGUUCUCACAUUGUUACAUCUAAGUAGGUUGCUUAUCAAAGUAUAGCAACAAAAGAUGGUUGUCACAUAUUUACAUCUUGGUGACACAUGACUACAUAGUAGCAAAAGAUACUUUGUAGUUGCUGGUAUGAUAUUUAUUGAAUGGAGUGAUCAUGGAGUAUUGGUAGCAUCGCGGUCAUCCAAAUUACAGCUUAAACCAAGCUCCUUGCUUCUACAAUAGAGAAUUUGAGUUUUGUAAGACUAAAUGGUACAAAAUAAGAUAUUACUUUACUCGUAUGUAAGGAAAAAUGUGUUUUGGUACUUAUUGGCAAAUUGUAAGCAUGAUAGUGUAAUUUUUUAUUGGAGCAGUUUUUGGAAGUAUUAAUGCAUUAGAAAAAUAAUAGUUGUUUAGUAAGGAGGGACAAUAAGAUAUAUAGUUAUGUAAUAGAAGGAAAUCUGGUUUGCAAAAAACAAUAAAUAACUGAUGUAUGUCUCUUAUGUGUUUCGUACUGCUUUAUUACUUCAUGUUGCCGUAUUCCAACGGUGAGCACAGGUAGAAGCAAAGGUAAAGUUCUAGAAAGUAUAUAAUCAAAACUCCACAUCAACCAUGAACAAAAAAUUAGCCGAUAAAUAUUCUUUUAUCUCUAGAUGAAAUCAUAUAACUGAUUAUUAAGAGCUAGAGAUUCUCUUUACACAUAUUCACAAUGAAACUAAUAAUAAGAUGCAACUGUGACCCAUAAUUAAAUAAGCAAGAAACAUCGCAAGGUAAUUAUACCUGUGAUUCGUAUCAACCAUUAACUUACCAAGUUUUACCAUAAUUUACUGGAGCUGCAAUAUCACAAAUUUAGCACCCAAUUAUUUAGGUGAACAAUUAGGCCAUCAUAUGUGAUACAUAAUGAUAGUCGCCUAGAGGGGGGGGGUGAAUAGGGCGAAACUGAAAUUUACAAAUAUAAACACAACUGCAAGCCGGGUUAGCGUUAGUAAUAAAGAAAUGAGUCCGCGAGAGAGGGUGGAAAACAAAUCGCAACCAAAUGGAGAGUGUGACACACGGAUUUGUUUUACCGAGGUUCGGUUCUUGCAAACCUACUCCCCGUUGAGGAGGCCACAAAGGCCGGGUCUCUUUCAACCCUUCCCUCUCUCAAACGAUCCACGGAUCGAGUGAGCUUUCUUUUCUCAAUCACUUGGAACACAAAGUUCCUACAAGGAUCACCACAAGAUUGGUGUCUCUUGUCUCAAUUACAAGUGAGCUUGAUCACAAUGAAAGAAUCAAGAAAGCACGAUUAAAAAGCCAAGCAACAAGAGCGACAAAUGACACACGGAUCACUUUCUCUCUCAAGUCACUAAUCACUAAUGAUCUCUUUUCUCAAUUGUAAAACUUGGAGAGAUGGAGGCUUUGAAUGUGUCUUGGAAUGGAUUGCUAGCUCUUGUAUUGAAUGUUGAAGGUUGGAAUGCUUGGAUGAAGUGAAUGGAGGUGGUUGGGGUUGUAUUUAUAGCCACCAACCACUUCCUAGCCGUUGGGCCAUUCUGCUGAGCGCGGACGGUCCGCCCUCCUGGUGCGGACGGUCCGCCCCUGUAGAUCAACGGCUGAAAAUGCAACGGUCAGCAGUAACGGCUAUAUCAACGGCUAUAUUGCAUUUAAUGCGUCGUCAGAUGUCAGACAGAGCCAGUCGCGGACGGUCCGCCCGCCUGGUCCGGACGGUCCGCGAGGCCGCUAUAAUUCAUUUCUCCGAACCCGUUACCUUCGGGUUUUUCGGUUGCUCACCUACCGGACGGUCCGCGCCAGAGGCCGGACGGUCCGCGCAAGGGCUCGGACGGUCUUUGCUUUUCCUCCGGACAGUCCAUAGCACAGACUUGGAUUUUUGCAUUGGUUCUGGCCGAGUGACAUCCUCGUGUCGCGGACGGUCCGCCGCAAGGGCCCGGACGGUCCGCGCUUGGCCUGUUUUUCCAAAAAGCUUCUCCUGUCCGGAAUAAUCUACGGUAUUCCGGACAGUCGAUUUAGUAUAGAUAUAGAUGAACCUUUGGCACCUGUAGAACAUAUAAUCUAGAGCAAACUAGUUAGUCCAAUUGUUUGUGUUGGGCGAUUCAACCACCAAAAUUAAUUAGGGACUAGGUGUAAGCCUAAUUCCCUUUCAAUCUCCCCCUUUUUGGUGAUUGAUGCCAACACAAACCAAAGCAAAUAUAGAAGUGCAUAAUUGAACUAGUUUGCAUAAUAUAAGUGCAAAGGUUGCUUGGAAUUGAGCCAAUAUAAAUACUUACAAGAUAUGCAUGGAUUGCUUUCAUUCUUAUAUAACAUUUUGGACCACGAUUGCACCACAUGUUUUGUUUUUGCAAAUUCUUUUGUAAAUCCAUUUCAAAGUUCUUUUGCAAAUAGUCAAAGGCAAAUGAAAAAGAUUUUUCAAAGCAUUUUCAAGCUUUGAAAUUUUCUCCCCCUGUUUCAAAUGCUUUUCCUUUGACUAAACAAAACUCCCCCUAAAUGAGAUCCUCCUCUUAGUGUUCAAGAGGGUUUUUGAUAUGUCAUUUUGAAAUACUACUUUCUCCCCCUUUUGAACACAAUAGGAUAUCAAUUGAAAAAUAUUCAACACUUAAGUUUUUGAAAUUGGUGGUGGUGCGGUCCUUUUGCUUUGGGCUCUUACUUUCUCCCCCUUUGGCAUGAAUCGCCAAAAACGGAAGCAUUAGAGCCCUCGAAGUGCAAUCUUCCCCUUUGGUCAUAAAUAAGUGAGUUAAGAUUAUACCAAAGACGAAGUCCUUUUGCGUUUGAGCUUUUACUCUCUCCCCCAAGGAUGAAGUCCUUUUCCUUGAUGCUCAUUUAUCCCCCAAGAGAGAGUUGCUCGGAGUGGUGGCGAAGUAUGAGUUACGGAGUGGAAGCCUUUGUCUUCGCCGAAGACUCCAAUUCCCUUUCAAUAUACCUAUGACUUGGUUUGAAAUCGACUUGAAAAACACAUUAGUCAUAGCAUAUAAAAGAGAUAUGAUCAAAGGUAUUUAAAUAAGCUAUGUGUGCAAGCUUAGCAAAAGAAAUUUCUAGAAUCAAGAAUAUUGAGCUCAUGCCUAAGUCUGGUAAAAGAUUGUUCAUCAAGUGGCUUGGUAAAGAUAUCGGCUAAUUGAUCUUUAGUAUUAAUGUAAGAAAUCUCGAUAUCCCCCUUUUGUUGGUGAUCCCUAAGAAAAUGAUACCGAAUGGCUAUGUGCUUAGUGCGGCUAUGCUCGACGGGAUUGUCGGCCAUUUUGAUUGCACUCUCAUUAUCACAUAGCAAAGGGACUUUGGUUAAUUUGUAACCGUAGUCCCGCAGGGUUUGCCUCAUCCAAAGCAAUUGCGCGCAACAAUGUCCUGCGGCAAUGUACUCGGCUUCGGCGGUGGAAAGAGCGACCGAAUUUUGCUUCUUUGAAGCCCAAGACACCAAGGAUCUUCCCAAGAACUGGCAAGUCCCCGAUGUGCUCUUCCUAUUAAUUUUGCACCCCGCCCAAUCGGCAUCCGAAUAACCAAGUAAAUCAAAUGUGGAUCCCCGAGGGUACCAAAGCCCAAACUUAGGUGUAUAAGCCAAAUAUCUCAAGAUUCGUUUUACGGCCGUAAGGUGUGAUUCCUUAGGGUCGGAUUGGAAUCUUGCACACAUGCAAACGGAAAGCAUAAUGUCCGGUCGAGAUGCACAUAAAUAAAGCAAUGAACCAAUCAUCGACCGGUAUACCUUUUGAUCCACGGACUUACCUCCCGUGUCGAGGUCGAGAUGCCCAUUUGUUCCCAUGGGUGUCUUGAUGGGUUUGGCAUCCUUCAUCCCAAACUUAGCAAGAAUGUCUUGAGUGUACUUCGUUUGGCUAAUGAAGGUGCCCUCUUGGAGUUGCUUGACUUGGAAUCCUAGAAAAUACUUCAACUCCCCCAUCAUCGACAUCUCGAAUUUAUGUGUCAUGAUCCUACUAAACUCUUCACACGUAGACUCGUUAGUAGACCCAAAUAUAAUAUCAUCAACAUAAAUUUGGCAUACAAACAAGUCUUUUUCAAGAGUUUUAGUGAAUAAAGUAGGAUCGGCCUUGCCGACUUUGAAGCCAUUUGCAAUAAGGAAAUCUCUUAGGCAUUCAUACCAUGCUCUUGGGGCUUGCUUGAGCCCAUAAAGCGCCUUAGAGAGCCUAUAGACAUGGUUAGGAUACUCACUGUCUUCAAAGCCGGGAGGUUGCUCAACAUAGACCUCUUCCUUGAUUGGUCCAUUGAGGAAGGCACUCUUCACGUCCAUUUGAUAAAGCUUGAAGCCAUGGUAAGUAGCAUAGGCUAAUAAUAUGCGAAUUGACUCAAGCCUAGCUACGGGUGCAUAGGUUUCACCAAAAUCCAAACCUUCGACUUGUGAAUACCCUUUGGCCACGAGUCGAGCUUUGUUCCUUGUCACCACACCAUGCUCAUCUUGCUUGUUGCGGAAGACCCAUUUGGUUCCUACAACAUUUUGGUUAGGACGUGGAACUAAAUGCCAUACCUCGUUCCUCGUGAAAUUGUUGAGCUCCUCUUGCAUCGCCACCACCCAAUCCGCAUCUUGAAGUGCUUCUUCUACCUUGUGUGGUUCAAUAGAGGAAACAAACGAGUAAUGUUCACAAAAAUGUGCAACCCGAGAUCUAGUAGUUACCCCCUUAUGAAUAUCGCCGAGGAUGGUGUCGACGGGGUGAUCUCGUUGGAUUGCUUGGUGGACUCUUGGGUGUGGCGGUCUUGGUUCUUCCUCAUCCUCCUUUUCUUGAUCAUUUGUAUCUCCCCCUUGAUCAUUGCUAUCAUCUUGAGGUGGCUCGUCUUCUUGAUUUUGCUCUUCAUCAUUUUGACCCUCAUCCUCAUUUUGAGUUGGUGGAGAUACUUGCAUGGAGGAGGAUGGUUGAUCUUGUGCAUUUGGGGGCUCUUCAGAUUCCCUAGGACACACAUCCCCAAUAGACAUGUUCCUAAGUGCUAUGCAUGGAGCCUGUUCUUCACCUACUUCAUCAAGAUCAACUUGCUCUACUUGAGAGCCAUUAGUUUCAUCGAACACAACGUCACAUGAGACUUCAACUAGUCCAGUGGACUUGUUAAAGACCCUAUAUGCCCUUGUGUUUGAAUCAUAACCAAGUAAAAAACCUUCUACAGUUUUAGGAGCAAAUUUAGAUUUUCUACCUCUUUUAAUAAGAAUGAAGCAUUUGCUACCAAAAACUCUAAAAUAUGAAAUGUUGGGCUUUUUACCGGUUAGGAGUUCAUAUGAUGUCUUCUUGAGGAUUCGGUGAAGAUAUAACCGGUUGAUGGCGUAGCAGGCGGUGUUGACCGCUUCGGCCCAAAACCGGUCCGGUGUCUUGUACUCAUCAAGCAUGGUUCUUGCCAUGUCCAAUAGAGUUCGAUUCUUCCUCUCCACUACACCGUUUUGUUGAGGCGUGUAGGGAGAAGAGAACUCAUGCUUGAUGCCCUCCUCCUCAAGGAAGCUUUCAAUUUGAGAGUUCUUGAACUCCGUCCCAUUGUCGCUUCUUAUUUUCUUGAUCCUUAAGCCGAACUCAUUUUGAGCUCGUCUCAAGAAUCCCUUUAAGGUCUCUUGGGUUUGAGAUUUUUCCUGUAAAAAGAAUACCCAAGUGAAGCGAGAAUAAUCAUCCACAAUAACUAGACAGUACUUACUCCCGCCGAUGCUUAUGUAAGCGAUCGGGCCGAAUAGAUCCAUGUGUAGGAGCUCCAGUGGCCUGUCAGUCGUCAUUAUGUUCUUGUGUGGAUGAUGAGCUCCAACUUGCUUCCCUGCUUGGCAUGCGCUACAAAUCCUGUCUUUCUCAAAAUGAACAUUGGUUAGUCCUAAAAUGUGCUCUCCCUUUAGAAGCUUAUGAAGAUUCUUCAUCCCAACAUGGGCUAGUCGGCGGUGCCAGAGCCAACCCAUGUUAGUCUUAGCAAUUAAACAUGUGUCGAGCUCAGCUCUAUCAAAAUCUACUAAGUAUAGCUGACCCUCUAACACACCCUUAAAUGCUAUUGAAUCAUCACUUCUUCUAAAGACAGUGACACCUAUAUCAGUAAAAAGACAGUUGUAGCCCAUUUGACAUAAUUGGGAAACAGAAAGCAAGUUGUAGUCUAAUGAAUCAACAAGAAAAACAUUGGAAAUGGAAUGGUCAGGUGAAAUAGCAAUUUUACCCAAACCUUUGACCAACCCUUGAUUUCCAUCCCCAAAUGUGAUAGCUCGUUGAGGAUCUUUGUUUUUCUCAUAUGAGGAGAACAUCCUUUUCUCCCCGGUCAUGUGGUUUGUGCACCCGCUGUCGAGUAUCCAACUUGAGCCCCCGGAUGCAUAAACCUACAAAACAAAUUUAGUUCUUUGUUUUAGGUACCCAAACGGUUUUGGGUCCUUUAGCAUUAGAUACAAGAACUUUGGGUACCCAAACACAAGUCUUGGAGCCUUUGUGUUUGCUCCCAACAAUUUUGGCAACUACCUUGCCAGAUUUGCUAGUCAACACAUAAGAUGCAUCAAAAGUUUUAAAUGAAAUGGCAUGAUCAUUUGAUGCAUUAGGAGUUUUCUUUCUAGGCAACUUGGCACGGGUUGGUUGCCUAGAGCUAGAUGUCUCACCCUUAUACAUAAAAGCAUGGUUAGGGACAGAGUGAGACUUCCUAGAGUGAAUUCUUCUAAUUUUGCUUUCGGGAUAACCGGCAGGGUACAAAAUGUAACCCUCGUUAUCCUGAGGCAUGGGAGCCUUGCCCUUAACAAAAUUAGACAAGUUCUUAGGAGGGGCAUUAAUUUUGACAUUGUCUCCCCUUUGAAAGCCAAUGCCGUCCUUAAUGCCCGGACGUCUCCCAUUAUAGAGCAUGCUUCUAGCCAUUUUAAAUUUUUCAUUUUCUAAGUCAUGCUCUCUAAUUUUAGCAUUAAGUUGUGCUAUGUGAUCAUUUUGUUUUUUAAUUAAGGCAAGGUGAUCAUGGAUAGCAUCAACAUUAAUAUCUCUACAUCUAGUGCAAAUGGACACAUGCUCAAUAGUAGAUGUAGAGGGUUUGCAAGACUUUAAUUCAAUAACCUUAGCAUGCAACAAAUCAUUCUUAGUUCUAAGGUCGGAAAUGGUAGCAUUGCAAACAUCAAAAUCCUUAGCCUUAGCAAUUAAUUUUUCAUUCUCAUUUCUAAGGCUAGCAAGAGAAAUGUUCAAUUUUUCAAUCCUAGCAAGCAAAUCAUCAUCAUUAUUUCUAGGAAUUGAAACAUUGCAAAUAUGAGAAUCAACCUUAGCUAACAAAUUUGCAUUCUCAUUCCUAAGGUUGUCUAUAGUCUCAUGGCAAGUACUUAGCUCACUAGACAAUUUUUCAUAUUUUUCCAUUGCUAGAGCAUAAGCAUUUUUAACCUUAACAUGCUUCUUAUUUUCCUUGAUUAGGAAGUCCUCUUGGGAGUCCAAGAGAUCAUCCUUUUCAUGGAUAGCACUAAUUAGCUCAUUUAAUUUUUCUUUUUGUUCCAUGUUAAGGUUGGCAAAAAGAAUACGCAAGUUAUCCUCCUCAUUUUUAUCAUCCUCAUCACUAGAUGUUUCAUUUUUAGUGGAGGACUUUGAUUUUACCUUCUUUUUGCCGUCCUUGGCCAUGAGGCACUUGUGGCCGACGUUGGGGAAGAGGAGGCCUUUGGUGAUGGCGAUGUUGGCGGCGUCCUCGUCGUCGGAGGAGUCGCUUGAGCUUUCGUCGGAGUCCCACUCCCGACAAACAUGGGCAUCGCCGCCCUUCUUCUUGUAGUACUUCUUCUUCUCCUUCCUCUUGCCCUUCUUGUCGUUGUCCCUGUCACUAUCACUUGAUAAUGGACAUUUAGCAAUAAAGUGACCGGGCUUACCACACUUGUAGCAAACCUUCUUGGAACGGGAUUUGUAGUCCUUCCCCUUCCGUUGCUUGAGGAUUUGCCGGAAGCUUUUGAUGAUUAGGGCCAUCUCCUCGUUGUCGAGCUUGGAGGCGUCAAUUGGUUGUCUACUUGGUGUAGACUCCUCCUUCUUCUCCUCCGUUGCCUUGAAAGCCACGGGUUGCGCCUCGGAUGUGGAAGGCUCAUCAAGCUCGUUGAUCUUCUUGGAGCCCUUAAUCAUGCAUUCAAAACUAACAAAAUUCCCGAUGACUUCCUCGGGGGUCAUUUGUGUAUAUCUAGGAUUGCCACGAAUUAAUUGUACUUGAGUAGGGUUAAGGAAAAUAAGGGCUCUCAGAAUAACCUUAACCACUUCGUGGUCAUCCCAUUUUGUGCUCCCGAGGUUGCGCACUUGGUUCACCAAGGUCUUGAGCCGGUUGUACAUGUCUUGUGGCUCCUCCCCUUGGCGAAGACGGAAGCGACCGAGCUCCCCCUCGAUCGUUUCCCGCUUGGUGAUCUUGGUGAGUUCAUCACCCUCAUGCGCUGUCUUGAGUAGGUCCCAAAUCUCCUUGGCGUUCUUCAACCCUUGUACUUUGUUGUAUUCCUCCUUGCUUAAAGAGGCAAGGAGAAUGGUUGUGGCUUGAGAGUUGAAGUGCUCGAUUUGGGCCACUUCGUCCGUGUCGUAGUCUUCAUCCCCUACCGAUGGUACCUGUACACCAUACUCAACAACAUCCCAUAAUCUUUUGUGGAGAGAGGUUAGAUGAAAUCGCAUCAAAUUACUCCACAUAGCAUAAUCUUCACCAUUAAAAGUUGGUGGUUUGCCUAAUGGGACGGAAAGUAAAGGUGUAUGUUUAGGAACGCGAGGGUAGCGUAGGGGGAUCUUACUAUACUUCUUACGCUCUUGGCGUUUAGAAGUGACGGACGCCGCGUCGGAGCCGGAGGUGGAGGUCGAUGAAGUGUCGGUCUCGUAGAAGACCACCUUCCUCAUCCUUUUGUGCUUGUCCCCACUUCGAUGCGGCUUGUGAGAAGAUUUUUCCUUCUUCUCCUUAUGGUGAGAAGAGGAAGAUCUUUUCUCCUUCCGCUUGGAGGAUUUCUUCUUCUUCUCUCUUCUCUUGGUGCGGGACUCUUCCGAUGAAGUGCUCCCUUGGCUUGUAGUGGGCUUGUCGUCGCCGGUCUCCAUCUCCCUCUUGGUGUGAUCUCCCGACAUCACUUCGAGCGGUUAGACUCUAAUGAAGCACCGGGCUCUGAUACCAAUUGAUAGUCGCCUAGAGGGGGGGGGUGAAUAGGGCGAAACUGAAAUUUACAAAUAUAAACACAACUGCAAGCCGGGUUAGCGUUAGUAAUAAAGAAAUGAGUCCGCGAGAGAGGGUGGAAAACAAAUCGCAACCAAAUGGAGAGUGUGACACACGGAUUUGUUUUACCGAGGUUCGGUUCUUGCAAACCUACUCCCCGUUGAGGAGGCCACAAAGGCCGGGUCUCUUUCAACCCUUCCCUCUCUCAAACGAUCCACGGAUCGAGUGAGCUUUCUUUUCUCAAUCACUUGGAACACAAAGUUCCUACAAGGAUCACCACAAGAUUGGUGUCUCUUGUCUCAAUUACAAGUGAGCUUGAUCACAAUGAAAGAAUCAAGAAAGCACGAUUAAAAAGCCAAGCAACAAGAGCGACAAAUGACACACGGAUCACUUUCUCUCUCAAGUCACUAAUCACUAAUGAUCUCUUUUCUCAAUUGUAAAACUUGGAGAGAUGGAGGCUUUGAAUGUGUCUUGGAAUGGAUUGCUAGCUCUUGUAUUGAAUGUUGAAGGUUGGAAUGCUUGGAUGAAGUGAAUGGAGGUGGUUGGGGUUGUAUUUAUAGCCACCAACCACUUCCUAGCCGUUGGGCCAUUCUGCUGAGCGCGGACGGUCCGCCCUCCUGGUGCGGACGGUCCGCCCCUGUAGAUCAACGGCUGAAAAUGCAACGGUCAGCAGUAACGGCUAUAUCAACGGCUAUAUUGCAUUUAAUGCGUCGUCAGAUGUCAGACAGAGCCAGUCGCGGACGGUCCGCCCGCCUGGUCCGGACGGUCCGCGAGGCCGCUAUAAUUCAUUUCUCCGAACCCGUUACCUUCGGGUUUUUCGGUUGCUCACCUACCGGACGGUCCGCGCCAGAGGCCGGACGGUCCGCGCAAGGGCUCGGACGGUCUUUGCUUUUCCUCCGGACAGUCCAUAGCACAGACUUGGAUUUUUGCAUUGGUUCUGGCCGAGUGACAUCCUCGUGUCGCGGACGGUCCGCCGCAAGGGCCCGGACGGUCCGCGCUUGGCCUGUUUUUCCAAAAAGCUUCUCCUGUCCGGAAUAAUCUACGGUAUUCCGGACAGUCGAUUUAGUAUAGAUAUAGAUGAACCUUUGGCACCUGUAGAACAUAUAAUCUAGAGCAAACUAGUUAGUCCAAUUGUUUGUGUUGGGCGAUUCAACCACCAAAAUUAAUUAGGGACUAGGUGUAAGCCUAAUUCCCUUUCACAUAAGACAUGUUUUAGUGAAUAUCCAGGAUGGCGCUAUUAAACAUCUCUCUAAACAAUAAAGCAAAGUGAACACAUCUAAGAAUGAUUUAUAAUCUGGAAUGCAGAGUAUGCAACAUACUCAUGGAUUUAUGAACUGACACAUACAAAUUAAAAUUUGUGAAUUUUUAAAAGUAUGGUAAUUCUAUGUUUAUAUUAAUGUAACUGUGGAUUCGCAUGGAAAAGCAUUGUUGUAGAGUGCUGUAAAUGCUUUUAUUGUUCUAGUAUUAUCUACUUUACUUUUUUAUUAGUACUUAGGUAAUUUAAAGAUGUUUGAUUGUUUUGAAUAGCAUUAGCUAGAGUUGGAGAAGCAAACCUUUUUGAAGGAGAUUCAACAAUAGCAAUUUUAGGAAUAGAGUCAACUAAACUGGUUGUUUCGUCUAUUAAGUAAAGAUGAAUGUAUGUAUCAAUGUUUUUAUUUAGAUAAAUUCAUUUUAAUAGUAUCAUCUAAGCUUUUGUUAGAGAAUUACCUAUGGCGCCUUUUGUUCUAAGAAGUCAUCCUUUUUCGAAGCAGAGGUCUCUGAGCUAAGAUAUGUUAGCACCGGUUUGGCCUGUGUGUAGCAAUGGUAAUGUAUUAGAGUAAAGAAAGCAAAAAAUGGGAAAAUAUAAAAAAAAUAAGACUGAAAGCGGUUUUUUCAUCUAAAAUAUAACUAUGCACAUUAUACAUUACAUGAGGUGGUGAGCUAGUCGUCAGAUUGAAAAAAUGAAUAGUCAUGCAAAGAAGAGAAACGUAAUAGUAGCAACAAUGGAAGAAAAUACAAAAAUCAGAGCACACCAUUAGAAAGGCAGAAAGGAAUGUGUAAUAAAAUGAACCUUGUUGGAGCAGCA